CACGGAUCUGGCUGCUGAGGCAGGCGCACACAGCAACGCCUGCCCCAGCUCUGCAGUGCGACACAGAGCCAACGAGUUCCCACCUGGAGAACAGUGCAAAGGAGAAGACAAGUUAGUAGAAAAUCAGAUUGGAACCUCCACAGGAACACAGAUUCUCACUGAAUAAAGACAACAGGAUGAGGGACGGCCGGGAGGAGGAAGAGGGAGGAGGAUGUGCUUAAUUAUUUCAAGAAGAACCCAGUGACAUGAGCAGCACUCCCACAUCCCUUAUGAGCACAUCGUCCAGGACAGCUCUGUCCAACACAGGGCCCUGGCCUACUCACCGACAACAUACAGGCAACCAUGGAGCUCACUGACGCCGUUGCCGG